ACACAAAGAGCUCCACAACUAGCAUUUUAGAAAGAUUAAAUUCAUAUACUGAUCUGUAUAUAAUUGCCUAUAAUUUGCAUUUCGGCACAUGUUGGCUCAUAUUUUUCUCAGCUAGCUCAUAUAUUCAUCACAACACUAACACACGUCUUGCUUUUUUCUUAUUGCAGAGGCUGUCUAGGUGCUGUUUUGGUGUUUCCCGUGGUGCACAUGUGUGCUGCCUUUCCUACAGUGCUCUGAACCUCUGACAUUAGCAAAUGAUUUGCUUUAUCCGAAAAUGCUAGGUGGUGGCGGCAGUGUUGUGUUCAGUGGCUAAGUGCCUUUUGGUUCGUUGGUCAUUGAAAAUAUUUCACCUGAUGAAAGGGUCUUGCUUAAGCAAGAGAAAGUACUACCAAGUAUCAACUAGCUAGUUACAGAUUCACUCAUCAGCGAAGUAACUUGUAACAGCAGUGGAGUGCGGGCAUGUGCCAUAUAUCUAUUAGUAAUUUAGUACUUUCAUCGUGCUUGUGCUAGCUCCAGUUCAACGAACAUCGAGCUGUGGUACCUGAUGUAGAUGCGGAGCGGAGAAAAGACCUGAGUAGGACUAGUGAUUUUCACCUUGCAGCCCAUCCUAUUCGAAAGUGUCUAUGCCUCAGACAUGACAACUUGAUAAUUCAGAAUUUUUGUAGUGAACAAACUUAAACAAUGAUGCAUCAAUGCCAAUUGUAUUGAUUGCUUUUAUGUUGGAACACGAAAAAAUAUUUAGCUCAAUGCUUAAUCGGAAUGAAAUGUGGACCGAUGGGUAUUUGAACCUUGGUGAAGUGAUGGAUAUCAGUUGUAUUUUUUAAUGAAA